rnacentral:lncRNA from 10 species
GGCAGCUUCCUUAAAGCCGCAGCCGCGGCGGGAGCUUGGGGUGCCGGGCGGUGGCUACAUCAGGCGGCCUCCGCACGCUGCCCCCACCCCCAUCGCUCGGCCGCCCCAAACUUGCUUACGUCCACCCUGCUCUCCUUCUGACCGACCCCAGGAUAUCUGGAGAGAUGUGAAAAGUGUGCUGACGCGGAAGAAGUCGGUUUUUCCGCGAGCAAAGUGUCGUCCCCUCACGCUCUCCACCUGCAGCUCCAGGAUGGUGAAAAAGAGCUGAAUUACAUAGGACAAUAAGUUUUUGAGAAGCCAACUGGGAAACAGAAGAAGGAAGAUGUCACCAGACAAAAGAAGUCUAAUGGGAGGAAUCCGUGGAAUUUUCUUUUGCAUGCUUGUGUAACACUCGUGAAGCAGCAAAAGAAGAUCCACGUUAUUCCAGAAAUUAAUGCCAGCGAAGUCAAUCGUGUACAUCAAGUUAGCACAAUUUCUUUCUGAUGGUCCUGAAAAUAUAGGGGGACUUGGAGUUAACACCUGUGAUGCAGAAACUAAUCUGCCAUUCAUUUGAUGUGCCAUGUUGGUCAAAUAUGUUAAGCCCACACUUCCUGACUUGUUCUUCAUGAAAUGGGAAUAAUGCAUUCAUUUAUUUAUUGAGCAUCUACUAUGUGCUAGGUACUCUUCUGGGAUUGGAGAAAUAGUAGCAAACAAACUAAAUUACCACCACCAUGGAGUUUACAUCCAAGUAGAGAAAGCAUACAAAAGCUACAUCUUGUCAUAUGGCAAAAGUGCUAUGGGGAAAAUUAAAGCAGAGUAAGCGGGGUGAGGGGGAGAGUAGGAGAUGGUGUACUAUUUUUUUUGAGUAGUCAAGGGAGAAUUCUGAAUAGGUAACAUUUGAGGGAAAACUUGAACAAAAUGAGGGAGGAAGCUAUGUAGAUAUCAGAAGAGAGUACGUGUCAAGAAAAAGAGAACACAUGUAAAAAAACCUGAAAAAUUAAUAAUUUCUUUUCGUCUACAUUAUAGGGUUGCUGUGAGGAUCAAAUGAAAUAAUAUAUGUGAUCUGUAUGUACGUACGUGUGUGUGUGUGUGUGUGUGUGUGUGUGUGUGUAUUUAGAGACAGGGUGUCACUCUGUUGCUCAGGCUGGAGUGCAGUAUUAUAAUCUUAACACACUGCAGCUCCAAACUUCUGGACUCAAACGAUCCUUCCACCUCAGCCCUCCUAGUAGCUGGGACUACAGGUAUGCACCACCAUACCCACUUAAUUUUUUAAUUGUUUAUAGAGACAGGGUCUUGCUAUAUUGCCCAGGCUGGUCUUGAACUCCUGGCUUCAAGCCAUCCUCCCACCUCCUCCUCCCAAAGUGCUGGGAUUAUAGGCAUGAGCCACCAUGCCUGGCCUGAUCUAUAUAUUUUUAAGCAUUGAAUUCAUUUUGCUGCUUUUGUGGUUACUAUUUUUAUAGCUCAUUGUUGCAAAGUGAACUCUUUUAUGUCUCAUUAAAAGAGAGAAAUUCUCUGACAGAGAACUUAAAGAAUGUGUACCAACUGGCUAUCAUCUUAAGGUUCAGUAGUGAAAAUACACUUUAUCUGUACUUUCAGAGCACUUAUAAAUUACUGGAAGAUGUGUGUGUAAAAUAGAGCACAGUAUAAGAGAAAAUAACACAAAGCAAGUGUCAAGUUGAUGCAGCAGUCUAGUGAAUCUUCUCUGAGAUUUGAGAAUUCAGUGAUUCUUAUGACAUAAGAGAUAGAUUUCUCUAUUUAGGAAUUCUUCUUACAUCAGAUUUUCCUCUCCCUGUCUCCUUCUCUUUCCUUUAUUUCUUGCUUUCCUGCCUUUUACAUGCACAUUUUGUGAUGGUUUAGAAGAAGAUCACAAACAGUAAAUGGUGGUUGAGAAAGAGGAACUUGUAACAUUGGCAUGAAUAUAGCUAAGAACACAUUUCUUAAUGUUAUAUUCAAACACUAUUAGGUAAUUACAUGACAAGUUAAGUGACAGGCAACUUUUAUAAUUUUCUCAGAUAAACAGGGAUGGGGAAGUCAUGGUUCUUUGCUUCUGUUCCUCUAAUAUUGGGGAACAGCUGACUUGAGUAUGGAAACAUUCUUGCCACCUAUUUGUAUUUGUUUUUUGGUUUGUUUUUGGUUUUGAGGCAAAGUCUCCCUCUAUCACCCAGGCUGGAGUGCAGUGGCACGAUCUCGGCUCACUGCAACCUCUGCCUCUGGGGUUCAAGAGAUUCUCCUGCCUGAGCCUCCUGAGUAGCUGGGAUUACAGGCGUGCACCACCACGCCUGGCAAAUCUUUGUAUUUUUAGUAGAGACAGGGUUUCCCUAUGUAGGCCAGGCUGGUCUUGAACUCCUGGCCUCAGGUAAUCUGCCUGCCUCAUUAUGGGAUUACAGGGAUGAGCCACCGUACCCGGGCUGUAUUUGUUUUAAUAUACAAGUGGAAUAAAUAUUCAAAAUCCUUUGUGAAGUAAGGCAGGGUGUAUAGAAACAUAUAAACAACACACUUUGGAAACAGGAAAACAGAACUGAAAGAAUGUUUAUAAAGGUGCACAAUGAAAGAGCAAUUCCACAGAGGGAUUGUUUAGAUUAGUGAAAUACUCAUGCCUGGGGUAAGUGACAUAAUGCAUGUUUGUGUAUAUGACUAUUAUGUAUUUAAAAUAUCAUUGAAAAUUAUAAAUAUAUUCCCCAUCCUUGACACUAACCCAUACCAAGAUCUGAAAAUC